CCUGGCAAGUAACUGGGCCACUCGCUUGUCGGUUACAUUCCGGCCCAUUCUAUCCAGUGCGGGAAGAAGUCUCUGGCGACUGGCGUCCGCACUCCGGCCGUCGAUCGACGGCGCCGGGGAGGGAAGCCUUUGCCUCCCAUGUAUCGAAGCCUAAACGAGACCCGUUCUCCAUCAGAGAAAAGAUAUGAGCAACACAGCCAUAUAUUGGAUCUUGAAGCCUGGCCUGCGCCUCAUAUGACAUAGUAACUGCAGACUCGCAGCGGUCGCUUAUUGGGAGAUGCAUUAGGAGCUUUGAAGCAUUGCUAGCCCCAAAGACCUUAUGGAUUGCGGCAAAGUGCGCAGCUCCUUGCUGAUGACAGAAGUAUGGGGCGAAGACACACCCCUUCACACACUUCCUGCGCAGGAACUUGCACGCACCACAUGGUGAGCCAAGGCCUGUCCAUUGGGUCUUCUUGUAGAUGCUCUUAUUAUUCUUACUACUUGAUGUGUAUGCUAUGAGCCAUGGAGCCAUCAUUCUCUGCUAUUUAUAGAGACUAGUGAAUGCUGUGUAUGUUGAAUAAUUAAUUCAUCUUGGCCUCCAUAUUGGACUACAGGUUUCAUUA